rnacentral:rRNA from 1 species
AAUAUUGCACAAUGGGGGAAACCCUGAUGCAGCAACGCCGCGUGAGCGACGAAGGCCUUCGGGUCGUAAAGCUCUGUCCUAAGGGAAGAUAAUGACGGUACCCUAGGAGGAAGCCUCGGCUAACUACGUGCCAGCACCCGCGGUAAUACGUAGGGGGCAAGCGUUAUCCGGAAUCAUUGGACGUAAAGUGUGCGUAGGCUGCGCUAUAGGUCAGAGGUCAAAGGCUACGGCUCAACCGUAGUAAGCCUUUGAAACUGUAGGGCUUGAGUGCAGGAGAGGAGAGUGGAAUUCCUAGUGUAGCGGUGAAAUGCGUAGAUAUUAGGAGGAACACCAGUGGCGAAGGCGACUCUCUGGACUGCAACUGACGCUGAGGCACGAAAGCGUGGGUAGCGAACA